UUGCAACGAAACGACGUCACUUUAGUCGACUAUAUAUAUAUAUUUUACGACUUGGAAAUUGCAGCAUUGCUACAGCGGCAUAGCAACAAACGGGAAAAAAAUGGAAGUAGUAGAAUUGUACGAGCUUCACUAUUCCGAUUUGCUGCAACUCUCUUCAGAGAAAUCUUUAUCAGAUGAAUUCAUUGAAGAAACUCAGCGGCUGAAAUCAGCCACCAGAAGUGUAAUGAAAAACUUAGGGCCAGAGGGACCAGGACUCCUCGCCAUCACCGGCGUUCCAGAAGCUUCCAAUCUUCGGCGAACUCUUCUUCCUUUAGCUCGAAAACUCGCUCUUCUUAAUAAUGAAGAUCGCAAGCGCCUUCUUAAGGAACAAAAUCUGGGAAGUGAUGUAUCAUUGAAGAACCCGAAUAGAGAUGUCUCGUCUUUUUCCAUGCAAUUGAAAUAUGAGCAAUGCUAUGAAAGAAGUGGUUGUCAGGUUGAUGAUCUAGAUGUUGAUAAUCGGGAUAGAGGAGAGGUUAAUCAGGAUGAGUUUAAGAAUUUAGGUUGCACCUUUAAGGAGCUAGGAUAUUGCAUGAUGGACUUAGGGCUUCGCCUUGCACAAAUAUGUGAUAAGGCCAUUGGGGGCCAAGAGCUGCAACAGAGCUUAUUAGAGUCUGGCACAGCUAAAGGGCGUCUGAUCCAUUAUCAUUCUGCUGUUGACAAUGAUAUUGUUAGAGAAGAUGCUAAAAGAAAUGGACAGUCUAAAGGAAGAAAUGGGAAAGCCAAUAAGAAUGAGCAAUUAGGUCUGAAGCAGCAAGGAAUUGAGUCAUUGAAAGACCAGUCAAAUGACUAUGGUCUGUGGCAGCAGUGGCAUUAUGAUUAUGGUAUUUUCACUCUUUUAACAGUUCCCAUGUUUCUGUUGUCCUCUCACCAAGAAGCACCAGCAACUAUAAAUAAUGAUUCACCUGUUUCUUCUAAGCAUGAAUUUCCUUCGCCCGGUGGGCACACAUAUCUUCAUAUAUUUGAUCCCAAAAAGAAUCAGGUCUUCAUUGUAAAGGCACCUUCAGAGAGUCUCAUUCUGCAGGUUGGAGAAGCAGCUGAUAUAUUAUCUAAGGGGAAGCUACGAGCAACACUUCAUUGUGUUUGUAGACCACCAAAGGUUGAUAACGUGAGCAGGGAAACAUUUGUUGUUUUCUUGCAGCCAGCAUGGAGCAAACAGUUCUCUCUUUUGGAUUACCCGCUUGAACUUUUUGCUUUAAGUGGUCAGCAGUGCGGGGUAUGUAGCAAGGGAACUGAACAGUCUAGGCAGGUCCCUGAGGAAUUAAGUCAUGAGAUUCAAAAGAUUGUUCCACCACUUUUGUCGAGGCUGAAAGAUGGGAUGACGUUUGCAGAGUUUUCUCGCGAAACUACAAAACAAUACUAUGGUGGUAAAGGUUUACAGUCCAACAAAUAGGUUUUCUGUGUAUAUCUUUAUAUGGCCAGAGGUGCCAUCCAGCUUGAUAAUGUCAAACUGGUGGUUGCAAAGUGUCACUGUCAACUUCUCCGUCUCAGGUAAAGAGGGGGCGGCGUGCUCUUGUACUGUUAGGAAGUGAUUUCACUUUCUAUGGCAACUCUGUCUUUGGAACUUCGGCAAUAGCCCGGUUUUGUGUCAAUGGUUCAAUGUACCUCAGGAAGAGAGAACAAGUCACUGCAACUUGCAAUGACUGCUGAAAGCUAAGAACAUAUUCUUGUGACCUCUACUUGGGAUACCUUUGCCACUCUAAACUUUGGAUCUCCGAGAUCUACCUUAAAUUUACGUCCUAGUCAUAGGUUUUUCUUUGUGUGUUACUUGCAGAUAGCCAGAAGGUAGGCGCGAAUGGGGUUUACAAGCUUGGGCCUCAUCCGCAUAACUACAGUUUGAUGGAACAGGAUAUAGGACCUGGAGAAGGGGUGUUAUGAGAGCAUUGUCAGUAAAGAACAAGUUAUGUUUCAUUGAUGGAAGUUGUGAGAAACCAAGCACCAAUUCACCUCAAUUACGUCAAUGGCAGAGGUGUGAUGAUAUGGUGACAUCUUGGAUUCUAAACUCUUUAGUCAAAGAAGUUUCAAACAGUGUGGAGUAUGUAAGCAAUUCUGCUGAGUUGUGGAAGGAGUUGGAAGAUAGGUAUGAUCAAACCAAUGGAGCGAAAUUGUAUCAAAUUCAAAAGGAGAUCAAUGAUCUCACACAAGGAGUUUUGGACAUUACUGUCUAUUACACAAGAAUGAAGAAGUUAUGGGAAGAGUUGAAUACUUUGAAUGUGAAGAAUCACUGCAGUUGUGUCUGUGCGUGUGGUGCAAAGGAUAGUAUAUUCAAGGCUGAGCAAGAUAGGCGCCUGAUUCAUUUUCUUAUGGGGUUAAAUGAAGUGUACACAGUGAUAAGAGGAAAUAUUCUCAUGAUGAAUCCUCUUCCUUCUAUGGGCCAGGCUUUCUCAUUGUUAAUCCAAGAGGAAAAACAAAGAGAGUUCAAGCCUGUUGGUAGAAUAUCUACAGAUUCUGUGUUUUGAAUGUUAAAGCUGUUGAUAACAAAGGUCAUGGAGGAAGAUCUUUUAGAACAAAUUUUCAAGGAAACAAUUAUGGAAAUGGCUAUGGAAAUCUUGGUGAUACCAAUAGUAGUUCAGGAGGAAAUCACUAUCCAAGUAAUUGUAAAAGACCUGGACACAUCAAGGAUAAGUGUUACAAGCUGCAUGGGUAUCCUCAAAACAAUAACAGACCAGGUAGUCACAAUGGUGGUCAGGGCUUUAGACAACAAGGCUCAAAUUACAAAGGAAGGAGAGUGGUAGCAAAUGUACAUGGUUCUGUAGGUGAUAUGGUACCUGCUAAUGGAGAAGAACAAUCACAAUUUCAAGGUGUUGUUCUAAAGAAUAUUAACUUCACAAAGGAACAAUAUGGACAGAUCAUGAAUCUACUGCAACAUUUCAAAAAUGAGAAUGUGGGAGAAGAUACUAGUGCCAACAAUAAUGCUUCUGGUGUGGCUGCUGGAUCAAUGAACUUUGCAGGCCCCUUUAGUGAAGAGGCCACAAGUUCUUGGUAAUUGUAGAGAUGGACUUUACUUCUUAUGCACAAAAUGCUUGAAGACUUCUGAUAAAGUCAAUACAUGUCAAAUAUGCUGUUGUUUUCCCAAUAAUAGUCUUCUUUCUAGUUCCAUUAGAAGUGAAACAUGUAAUUCUGGUUCCUAUUCUCAUGACCAAUACAAAGUGUUAGCUUCUAAUCCUGUUACUUUCAAGUGUAAAUCUUCUUUCAAUAUGAAUGUUAUGGCUGAUCACAACUCUGGAGAUAAUGUAGAUUUGUUGUGGCA